CCCGCUGGAAACUUAAGCAUAUCAAUAAGCGGAGGAAAAGAAACCAACAGGGAUUGCCCUAGUAACGGCGAGUGAAGCGGCAACAGCUCAAAUUUGAAAUCUGGCGUCUUUGGCGUCCGAGUUGUAAUUUGCAGAGGGCGCUUUGGCAUUGGCAGCGGUCCAAGUUCCUUGGAACAGGACGUCACAGAGGGUGAGAAUCCCGUACGUGGUCGCUAGCCUUUACCGUGUAAAGCCCCUUCGACGAGUCGAGUUGUUUGGGAAUGCAGCUCUAAAUGGGAGGUAAAUUUCUUCUAAAGCUAAAUACUGGCCAGAGACCGAUAGCGCACAAGUAGAGUGAUCGAAAGAUGAAAAGCACUUUGGAAAGAGAGUUAAAAAGCACGUGAAAUUGUUGAAAGGGAAGCGCUUGCAGCCAGACUUGCCUGUAGUUGCUCAUCCGGGUUUUUACCCGGUGCACUCUUCUAUAGGCAGGCCAGCAUCAGUUUGGGCGGUUGGAUAAAGGUCUCUGUCACGUACCUCCUCUCGGGGAGAACUUAUAGGGGAGACGUAAUGCAACCAGCCUGGACUGAGGUCCGCGCAUCUGCUAGGAUGCUGGCGUAAUGGCUGUAAGCGGCCCGUCUUGAAACACGGACCAAGGAGUCUAACAUCUAUGCGAGUGUUUGGGUGUCAAGCCCGAGCGCGUAAUGAAAGUGAACGGAGGUGGGAACCUUUCGGGGUGCACCAUCGACCGAUCCUGAUGUCUUCGGAUGGAUUUGAGUAAGAGCAUAGCUGUUGGGACCCGAAAGAUGGUGAACUAUGCUUGAAUAGGGUGAAGCCAGAGGAAACUCUGGUGGAGGCUCGCAGCGGUUCUGACGUGCAAAUCGAUCGUCAAAUUUGGGCAUAGGGGCGAAAGACUAAUCGAACUAUCUAGUA
rnacentral:rRNA from 1 species